rnacentral:rRNA from 1 species
CCUACGGGUUGCACCAGUGGGGAAUAUUGGACAAUGGGCGAAAGCCUGAUCCAGCAAUGCCGCGUGUGUGUGAAGAAGGUGUUCGGAUUGUAAAGCACUUUCGACGGGGACGAUGAUGACGGUACCCGUAGAAGAAGCCCCGGCUAACUUCGUGCCAGCAGCCGCGGUAAUACGAAGGGGGCUAGCGUUGCUCGGAAUGACUGGGCGUAAAGGGCGCGUAGGCGGUUUAUGCAGUCAGAUGUGAAAUCCCCGGGCUUAACCUGGGAACUGCAUUUGAGACGCAUAGACUAGAGGUCGAGAGAGGGUUGUGGAAUUCCCAGUGUAGAGGUGAAAUUCGUAGAUAUUGGGAAGAACACCGGUGGCGAAGGCGGCAACCUGGCUCGAUACUGACGCUGAGGCGCGAAAGCGUGGGGAGCAAACAGGAUUAGAUACCCCGGUAGUC